rnacentral:rRNA from 1 species
GAUGAACGCUGGCGGCGUGCCUAAUACAUGCAAGUCGAGCGAACAGACGAGGAGCUUGCUCCUCUGACGUUAGCGGCGGACGGGUGAGUAACACGUGGAUAACCUACCUAUAAGACUGGGAUAACUUCGGGAAACCGGAGCUAAUACCGGAUAAUAUAUUGAACCGCAUGGUUCAAUAGUGAAAGACGGUUUUGCUGUCACUUAUAGAUGGAUCCGCGCCGCAUUAGCUAGUUGGUAAGGUAACGGCUUACCAAGGCAACGAUGCGUAGCCGACCUGAGAGGGGGAUCGGCCAAAAUGGAACUGGGAACAGGUCCCGAAUCCUAAGGGAGGGAGGAGUAGGGAAUCCUCCGCAAUGGGCCGAAGCCUGAAGGAGCAAAGCCGCGUGAAUGAUGAAGGUCUUCGGAUCGUAAAACUCUGUUAUUAGGGAAGAAAAAAUGUGUAAGUAAAUAUGCACGUCUUGACGGUACCUAAUCAGAAAGCCACGGCUAACUACGUG